rnacentral:lncRNA from 1 species
UGGUUUUCAUGACUUGGUAUUUCAAAACAAGUUUCCCGGUAGGAAACAUUUUAAACUAAUAGUUGUGGAUUAUGGUUAAAUUCUGAAUGUGAAUGGUGUAUGAAUGUGUGAAUGUAUGAAUUUCAGUUGUGGUGGUUGUAUUCUGUUUAUGUAUCUUUUACUUGUGCGACGCCGCGCAAAUACAGGGGAGACUCUGUCCGUGUGAACAGUGGACUCCCUGUAUUUGUGGCGGAUCUGCAGGCAUACCCUAGGAGUCAGGUUUUCAAAAAAAAUUGGGCACUUCCUCUUUGUUUUUUAAACCAAAAUGGGAUCCCGGGGCGUGACAAUUUCAAUACAGGCUAUAGGAGGUUUUUAAUGCCCUUUUGCCAAUAGAAAACUUAGUAAAACAAAAUAAACUAAAUUACAAAAAACCUCUUUAUAAUUAUCCCUUUUUUCACUUUUCCUUUCUAACUUUUUAAAACCUAUAAUUUACUCUCUCAACAUUUCAAGUUGUUGCAUUUAGUCCCCCUCCGUCAGGGUUCUAUCACAAUUCCAUCCAUUUUUUAUAAUUUAUACCCAAAAUGCCUAUCACGCGCAGGCCCUACCGAAAGCCUACCCGGUACAUACACAAACCCGCAG